rnacentral:rRNA from 1 species
UACGAAGGCCUCAAGCGUUAUCCGGAUUUAUUGGGCGUAAAGCGCGUGUAGGGGGUUUGGUAAGUUUUUGGUAAAAUCUCGGAGCUUAACUCCGGGCCCGCCAAGAAAACUGCCAGACUUGAGGGCGUUAGAGGCAGAUGGAACGCACGGUGUAGGGGUGAAAUCCGUUGAUAUCGUGCGGAACACCAAAGGCGAAGGCAUUCUGCUGGGACGUUCCCGACCCUGAGACGUGAAAGCGUGGGGAG